rnacentral:rRNA from 1 species
CCCUUAGAUGUUCUGGGCCGCACACGCGCUACACUGAAGGAGGCAGCGUGUACUCCUGGAUCGAAAGAUUUGGGUAACCCGCGAAUCUCCUUCGUGCUAGGGAUUGAGGUUUGCAAUUAUCCUUCAUGAACGAGGAAUUCCCAGUAAGCGCAAGUCAUAAGCUUGCGCUGACUACGUCCCUGCCCUUUGUACACACCGCCCGUCGCUACUACCGAUUGAAUGAUUUAGUGAGGACUUCGGACUGGGACCGAUGCGGCUUUCGGGCUGCGUCGGUAUUCUGGAAAGAUGUCCAAACUGUAUCAUUUAGAGGAAGUAAAANUCGUANCA